rnacentral:misc_RNA from 1 species
AGAAGAAGAAGAUGAUGAAGAAGAGGAUGAGAAGUACUGGGAAGAGAAGUUUAGGAAGGAAGUGAGUAGUGCAGAAGCAAUGGAGAAUCUAGCUAGAUGGAGCGUAGAGACAACUACUGAAUUGUAUAAGAGGCAGUUAAAGGCAAUGGAAACGCGGGAAAAGAUAAAAAAUAAAGAUGAAGAUGAAACUGCCUUGAGAGGUGUUAGAGCAAAAGUGAGUCCAGAAGAAUGGAAAGUUGCAGGAAUUGGCAGAUGGAGGAAGAGGAUUCGGAGGAGUAAAAUUCCUCCAGAGUUGUUCUUGCGAGCAGCAGUUAGACCCUUCACUUACAGGAACCUUGUCAAGGAGAUAGUUUUAACUAGGCAUGCAAUUUUGGAUGGUGAAAUUGGUAGGCAGGAAUGAAGCGUUGAGUGUCUUCAAUUUCUAGUUUCAGUAAAAAAAUAAAAUAAAAUAAAAUA